UGGGGAAUAUUGGACAAUGGGCGCAAGCCUGAUCCAGCCAUGCCGCGUGGGUGAAGAAGGCCUUCGGGUUGUAAAGCCCUUUUGUUGGGAAAGAAAAGCAGUCGGUUAAUACCCGAUUGUUCUGACGGUACCCAAAGAAUAAGCACCGGCUAACUUCGUGCCAGCAGCCGCGGUAAUACGAAGGGUGCAAGCGUUACUCGGAAUUACUGGGCGUAAAGCGUGCGUAGGUGGUUUGUUAAGUCUGAUGUGAAAGCCCUGGGCUCAACCUGGGAAUUGCAUUGGAUACUGGCAGGCUGGAGUGCGGUAGAGGGUAGUGGAAUUCCCGGUGUAGCAGUGAAAUGCGUAGAGAUCGGGAGGAACAUCCGUGGCGAAGGCGACUACCUGGACCAGCACUGACACUGAGGCACGAAAGCGUGGGGAGCAAACAGGAUUAGAUACCCUGGUAGUCCACGCCCUAAACGAUGCGAACUGGAUGUUGGGUUCAAUUAGGAACUCAGUAUCGAAGCUAACGCGUUAAGUUCGCCGCCUGGGGAGUACGGUCGCAAGACUGAAACUCAAAUGAGUUGACGGGGUCAUAGCUGUUUCC
rnacentral:rRNA from 1 species